UUAAGUUUUGCCAACACAAUGCCCGAGUUGGCUCUCGGAUAACAGUAAGAUGUCGUAAAAACACCAAAAGUAAGCAUUUCAAGCGCCAUGAGACUUACAUUGAUCAAUUUUUAUAUAUUAUACUGUAGUACAUAGUCUAUGUAAAACAGAGCUGUAAAAAGAAAUCCUGCAACAACUUCAGCAACUGAAUCAGAUUUUCAAUAUGAGGUUGUGCGUUUUUUGCGUGGUGCAUCAGACCGCAAUGGC